AAAAGAACUUGGUAAGGAGAAAAGAAAUAGAUCUCCAGGAAUCAAGAAAAAAGCCAACAGGAAAACUAGAAACUAUAAACUGAAGACAGCAGAGAAAAGAACAAAGCCAUCUGGAAUGUUAACUGUGGCUCCUGGGGAGUAGGUACUGUCUCUGCAAACACAAGUGGUUAUUAAGCAUACUUCUGCCACCCUACAGUGUGCCACUGAACAUGAAGAAAUCAUCCAGCAUAAAGCAAAAUGAAAGCACAAAACCAG